AAUAGAAUGUUGGUUCUUCUCAAAGCAUGACUUUUGAUGUAAGCCAGUCAGCAGUCUUUGGCUAAUGUGUGUGGCUGACAUUUGCAGGUUUUGUGGAGACUGUCAGGCAGAUUGUUUUGACUCGGAAUGCGUUUUGGUAAUAGGAUGAAGAAACUUGUCCAUUUGGCAUUAGUUUCUGGGUUUGCCAUUAUUCAAAUGACUGCUGCUGCUCUUCCAUUUACCGUGAAAAGUUUUCAAACCAAGAAGACUUAAGCAGUGACAAGAAGAAGCAGUUGUGGAGGAGCGACCUCUUGAUUGAGGCACUCACUUAGAGAUAGCCACUCACUGAAUUCUCCUGCAGGUGGAAGCUUCUGAUUCUUUAUCAAAAUUUCUGGUUUGUUAGACUCCCUGAGACACAGAGGUAACCCAGAACAAUUACUGGUCUUACCUAUGAGAGGUCUUAUUUAAGUGGCAGCCAGCUCAAUGAAGGAACUGUGGAGUGGUAUUCUUCAUAUUGAUAUCUAUGCUAAGUACAGUGACACAGAGUCUGGCAAGGGGGCAAGUUCUAGGAAGGGAGCUCAAGAGUGGGUUGGAAGAUCCGUUUUUUAAGGUAGCUUAAGCAUUAUUUGGUUGACUCCUUUCCCCUGCUCCAUUUUUUUUUUUUCAACUUGUAUUUAACCACUGUAAUCACAAAUUUUAGUACAUGCUGUGUCUGUGCUUUAGCACCGAUUUCUGGACAGGUUAACAUCACUCUUUUUGCUGCUAUUCUUUUCAUGUUUAAUCUUUGUUCUACAUCACAUUGUCUGAAACUAUGAAACCACAGGUAAAAGGCUUUAGGAUCUUGAUUUCCUCCAAUUUCCUUCAGUCAUUCCGAGUUUGAUAGGAGUCAAAACUCUGAAUAGUGAGUUUGUGGACCUCGUGUCCUGGGGAGUUUGGAGGCAGCUCCCUAGCUAAGCUUUGUCACAUGAAGCUGAGAGCUGGAAACUCCACCUUCCACUGGUUCAGAUUGUUGACCUUUUCGUGUAUUUAUUAUGUUCGGGGCUGACCAAAAUUGCAGGUCAUGUUUUUUCUUUAGUCUUUCCAAAGUGCCCAUAGGCUUUCCUUGUAGAAUAUAAUUAUGCCCUUUUUUGGCAGUUUUUCACGGUUGCUUGUGCAGUGGUCUGUGUGAACAGACACCACAGAUCCCCACUGAAAUUGCAAUUGAGUACAAUAUAGUUCUCCCUGAUCAUCAUAGGGACUGUAAUCAGCAGAAGGCUUCGGAUUUUUUUUGUGCUUAGU